UACGUAGGGGGCAAGCGUUGUCCGGAUUCAUUGGGCGUAAAGCGCGUGUAGGCGGCCAGGUAGGUCCGGUGUGAAAACUCGAGGCUCAACCUCGAGAGGUCAUCGGAAACCAUCUGGCUAGAGUCCGGAAGAGGAGAGUGGAAUUCCCGGUGUAGCGGUGAAAUGCGCAGAUAUCAGGAAGAACACCCGUGGCGAAGGCGGCUCUCUGGGACGGUACUGACGCUGAGACGCGAAAGCGUGGGGAGCGAACAGG
rnacentral:rRNA from 1 species